CCCGUUCUUCGAACGGCAUGGACAUCCCAGAUCCAAUUUCAUUUCUAAACAGAUUUGGCACAAAUCAGAGAUCUGUAGUCCAAGUUAUGUCCCGUCAAAGUAUGCCCAAAAACCAUGUUUUCAUACAAAACCACAAGGUGCCAUUUUCAAAACAAGCCACUUUCAACUCUUUUCAAAAUCAAUCAAACAUGCCAAUUUCAACCCUUCUCUUUGAAAUCAUUCAAAAUGUACCAAAAUCAACAACAAGCCAUCCUCAACUCACACAUUGACACUUUACCAAGGUUUCCAAAACCACAUCCAACCAUUUUAACACUUCUCAAUCAAAUGGCUAAAGGACAAACACAAUAUCAUGUCAUACAUCCUUCCUCAUCCCAAUUUACAAUAAUACCAUUUCCAAUUAACCAUCAUUAUACAUAAUCAACAUCAUACUCACCAUCAACAUGGUACCACCCAUCAAUUCAACCUCAAUCAUCCAUCAAGCAUAUAUCACAACAUGCAUUUCUCAUAUU
rnacentral:lncRNA from 1 species